CCACCGAAUACAUUAGCAUGGGAUAAUGGAAUAGGACCCUGUCCUCCUAUUUUCAGUUGGUUUGCCGCGAGGACCAGGGUAAUGAUUAAUAGGGAUAGUUGGGGGCAUUAAUAUUUAAUUGUCAGAGGUGAAAUUCUUGGAUUUAUGAAAGAUUAACUUCUGCGAAAGCAUCUGCCAAGGAUGUUUUCAUUAAUCAAGAACGAAAGUUAGGGGAUCGAAGACGAUCAGAUACCGUCGUAGUCUUAACCAUAAACGAUGCCGACCAGCGAUUAGGAGACGUUGAAUACAAAACACCACCAUGCGCAUUGCGGUCGUCUUUGGUGUCGCUCACAAGGCGGCACCGGGGCGGCUUAGCUCGCAUGGCACCGGUGAAUGACUCCCCUAGCAGCU
rnacentral:rRNA from 1 species